rnacentral:rRNA from 1 species
AAUCAACGCUGGCGGCGUGCCUCAGACAUGCAAGUCGAACGAUUAAAGCUCCCUUCGGGGAGUGCAUAAAGUGGCGCACGGGUGAGUAACACGUAAGUAAUCUACCUUCGAGUGGGGAAUAACGUUCGGAACGAACGCUAAUACCGCAUAAUGCAGCGGCAUCUAUGAUGACAGUUGUUAAAGAUUUAUCGCUUGAAGAGGAGCUUGCGGCAGAUUAGCAGUUGGUAAGGUAAUGGCUUACCAAGGCUACGAUCUGUAUCCGGUCUAAGAGGACGGUCGGACACACUGACACUGAAUAACGGGUCAGACUCCUACGGGAGGCAGCAGUCGGGAAUUUUGGGCAAUGGGCGAAAGCCUGACCCAGCAACGCCGCGUGAAGGA